GGGGGGUUGGGGGGGACCGAACCGCACAGCACCGCAAACUGCUGCUGUUCAGAGACUCACCGCAUCAAAACUGUGUCGAAGCACUAAAAUGGAAACCAGAUGACCAGAGGAGACCCUUGGAGAACAUUAAAAAAAAAGUGACGGUUGAUUUUGAUUCCUCAGCCCUGGAAGUGUGAGAUAGACGUGCUACCCACAGAGCCAGCCGUGAGAGAAAAUGCCAUUGCAUAACAGAUGUGACCUUAGAUGAGAUAAAUAUACUUGCAUCCGUACUUAUCCAUGGAAGAGCAUACAUCCAUCCUUUUCAUUUCAUACUUUGUUUUGUCCAGAUUCUGCAUCAGCCUCAUUACUGUCACCUGCCUUUAGUCAUGGACAUCAGCACAGCAGGACUCUGGGAGAUUCAAGAGAUUUUAUAUAUAUAUGUGGGAAUUAUUCAUUUACGAUUGGGAUUUGGGAGUUUAUUGAAUGUAAUGUGUGCCUGUGCUUGUCCCACGUGUACACAUGGAACUGAUUCCUGUUCAAGCUUUCGUUUUCCGGAUUAAUAAUUUCCUCCUACAGUGCAAGACUGUAGCCGUUUGUGUGUGUGUCAGCUGACCAUCCACGUUCCUGCGUCUUACUUGGGUAAUGUUACCCCAAGGGGCUUUUGUCCUUUAAUACUGAAUGCUCACUUCCAUUUAUCACUGACCCGUGUGAAAUUGCAUGCUUUUGAUAAAGCUGAGUUUGGGGGAGGGACUUUUAAUUGUUAAUCCCCGAUUGAGUGAAUAUAAUGUAAGAAAUGUGAAAACUACACAAGUAAAACUACUACUAAUUUA